UCUCUCUCUCUCUCUCUCUCUCUCUUUCGGGGGGGGGGGGGGGGGGGGGGGUGGUUAAAACGCAAACCAUCAGAGCAAAUGAUCCCUCUUGAAUUGAUUUCAGGAUCAUAUAUGUCUUCUCCUUAUUAAUUCCUCUUCAUAAUCAAAUCAGUCCAAAAUCAUGUCUCUGAUGCCACAGAUGACCAGAUCACUGGUCAGGGUAGUCACUUUGCUGGUGGCCCGGCCUGCUUUGACGAUCACGACCCUACUUCACUACAGUGAUUUCCUCCCCCGGCACCUCAACCUCGAGAGGUCGGUCCAACGCGAGCUGCUCAAUCGAGAGAACUACCUCUUCCACUUCCUCGUCAACGUCCUUAGAUGUUUCCGGUACAUUCGAAACGGCUCGAGAUUAUUGCUGGCAAAUUUUCCGGUGGACGCUUCAUUCCUCGAGGAGAUUUUAGCAAAUUUGAGAGCCUUCACAUUCUUCAUCUGAUGGGAACUUGACAGCUUCUCCCUGAUGCAAAGAGCCGAUCGAGAUGAACUUCCAAAGGACCUUUGCGAGAUUUAGGACGAAUGGGUCGAUGAGGAUUUGAGCACGUGAGGUUGGGACGGACUUAAAAGUUUCUCGUCAUAUUAACUCGAAAAUAAGAGGUUCGUAAUGGAAUUACUGAAUAAUUCUUCCUCGGAAUCGGUCAUUCCGACUUCUUGUAAAACCGUCUAAGCAGAGUAUCACAGCUCCCUCUUGUAAAUUAAUGGAUCUCUGAAACAUCAAAAUGGUAUGCGUUGAUGCAGAUAGUGAACUUACUCGAACAAAGACGAAGCAGUCAAUAUUCAAAUAACUUUGUGGACUAUAUAUGUCCCUUUGAGCUUCACCAAGUUCCCAAAGAGAUGCUUUCAUCAAAGAAACAUCGAGAAACCACGUUUUUAGCAGCAGAGGCAAGAGUUUGCUUAAUCACUCGAUGGGAUAUAAACUUAGAAGGAAUUACAUACGGCAGUAAACCAUAAUCAGCAGAAUGAGAUUCACACGAGUUCAUGAUCUGAUGAUUGUCAUCAGGCCACAAAUUUCCCACAUUGGAAUCUGCUGACACUGGUAAUGUAUCAGCCAACUUUUGCCUGUAACAUUACAAAUUGACAAUAACAAGUUUACAAGACGAUAUCACAUCCAUUAGCCCUUCAAUGUAUCAAUGCGCCCGGGCCAUGUGGAAAUAAGAGUGAGUAAUAAAUAUACAAAAAUAGAGGGGAAAGUUGGUAAUGGAACAAAGAAAUUCGACUCACAAAUCACGGAGAGGGAGAAGAGAUGAACAUGAUAUCCGUGGUUUGGGCCACUGGUGUGGCAACUUCAAGUAUAGAGAAUCCCUCAAGAACAAACACUAACCCCUAUAUUAUGAGUUCACUCACUCUCUGUGUUUCUCUGUCCCUGAAAUACAAGAACGAGCCCGAAAUACAAAGUGGACCUGAAUCAUGUCAAAAUAUCCUACAGCCCAAGCCCUUCGUUUUUACGACAUAAUUCAUGACUCGGAUUUUACAACAUUUAAUCGGACCAGGCUUUAUAUUAGGUAGGAAACAUAAAAUUGUAGAUGCAUACACAACAGGAAGCAUGAAGCUAAAAUCCCAACAGGAAUGAGGACCUCUGAAUCAUAGGACCUCAUAUGAAAUUAACCGGAUUAGACUCCAUUUGAUCGGGAGUCAGGCAGCGGCAUGGCUUCUUCCUGUAAAAACAACAACAAAUGAGCAGAAAAGGUGGGCUUAAUUGACAAUUGUCCUUGAUCUUGCUACGUUUCGUGUUGAACAGGAUCCCGCCUUGAAAUCCCCACUGUUCCUCAUGUAGUUCUGCGAAUUCCUUGUUAGUUAUCAACUUGUACCAACCCUUGCAAACACUCUUCAACUGAACAAGGUUCUCGGCUGGAAUUCGCAGCAAAAUCUCCGUCAAACACAUCAACUGGCAAUGGUGCUACUGUAUUUUGUGCCUGGUCGUCAUCUUCCGUCUCGUUUGUCUCCGUGACCCACAUACAACAAGCCGUGUGAACUUUCUUGCUGACAGCUUCUUUACGAAGAUGAACCUUGCAGAGGACUGGUUUGGGAGCUUCUUCUCUUUACGCCCUUAAGAAAAGAAUUCUCAUUCGAGGAAGAUGUGAUCCUGACAACAUGCACAGAAACAUUUCAUGCAGAUGGACAAUCAAGGAAUUUCACCAGUAAUUCCUAUGAGAAGCAAUCCAUUGCAGGAAUCAAGGAUCGAAAAUUUCAACCAAGUGAACCUCCCUAUCUCCUGAUAUUCUUUAAUCAUGACUCCACGGAUGCAAUCUUCGAUUUGCAUAAUUGUCUGUCGACUUAUAGAUCCUGCCACUACAUUUAAAGGACAGAGGAGAGCUGAUACUGAAACCUGAAGGUAGGACAGUCUAACAGAAAAUUGGAGGCCCGAGUGACCAUGCUCUGGAAUAUCGUCCUGAAUAUGAUCCCCCCCAUGAGAUCUCCACCGUUCGAGAUGCAACUCAGCAAAGUCGUGGUUGCUUAUCAACUCGUGCCACUCCUUGCAAACGCCCUUCGCUUGAACAAGACUCUCAGCAGAGAGCAGCAGAAAAGUCUCGGUCAACACUUGAAGAGGCUACUGUGGUCCGUGCCUCAUCGGCAUCUCCGAUCUGGUUUGCCUCUGUAACCGCAUGCAGCAAGCCAUGAUGGAAACGUCUUGCCGCUAAGUACAUGGAAAAGAACAGGCUUACGCUUUCCAAAGCUCCGGUGCCAUCUUGUAUACUCAAUGCAGUUCUUGUUUGUUCCUCACUGUCUUCCGUCUCGUGCAUCCUAGAACGCGCAUACGAGAAGUCGCAUAGGAACUUCUUUGUGGAUAAAUGCAUCGAAGAGAACAAACUCAUUUUUUUUCUGGAGCUAUACAAAUUUGAGCUCUAGUGCAAUGUCUGAUACGAGGUUGUGCGAAGUGUUUUCGCAUCAUAAAUAGGUUAUGUGUGCAACCCAAUUUGAGGAGGUUAAAUCCUACAGAUGGUUUAAUAAUGGGCUGGUCUGUUCGUCCGAGUAUAGUCCAUAGAGAGAAUUGGUUGAAUACAUGAACCGACUUUGGUUUGGUUUUA